rnacentral:rRNA from 1 species
AUGACACCGUACAACCACUUCACACACUCCAAAAAUGUUAAGUGCUUGAUAUCUGAAGAAGCAAAGAGUACUAAAGUUUUGGCAUAUAUUACUGCCCUUCAGAAAUUAUGCAACCAUCCGAAGAACUUAUUAUCCCCACGACCACUGCCAUGGACUUUGUGGCCCGCCUGCUUAUCCUUGAUGUGGCUACAAUGCGCGAACCAGUGUUCGACUUUGAACGCCGACAUGGACGGCGGCCUCAAGUGCUACACCAUCUUCUUGGAUAUGUGGAGAGGCUUUUUGCACUGCAGUUCAAGACAUACUGUAGAUUACAUGGCUAAAGAAAAUUAUUUACGAUUAAUAAAUCAUGUUCUUGCUAAAUUAUUAAGUGUUCAAGCAUGCCUACUAUGA